GCCGAGCAGGUGGCGGGCUGUAAACCCGUCGACGGGGCGCACGCGCCCCCCCGACCAA
rnacentral:tRNA from 1 species